AUGAGCUUUUGGGGAGCAACAGUAAUUACAAGCUUAGCUAGCGCCAUACCAGUAGUAGGAGAUACCAUAGUGACUUGGCUUUGGGGUGGUUUCUCCGUGGACAAUGCCACCUUAAAUCGUUUUUUAGUCUCCAUCAUUUACUCCCCCUUAUUUUAGUAGGCGCCACUUCUUCAUCUGGCCGCAUUGCAUCAAUAUGGAUCAAAUAAUCCAUUGGGUCAUUCUGAGAUGGAUAAAAUUGCUUCUUACCCUUAUUUUUAUGUAAAGGAUCUUGUAGGUCGG
rnacentral:rRNA from 1 species